CCGCCUCAUCGCUGUCGUUCGCGAUUCCUGUUCUCCGACUCCUUUCCAUCUCUUCUUCUCAGAAGAUCGGUGUCUUUUAGAGUCUCACAAUCUUCAAUGAAUCCCGUUAAAUUGAGGUCAAGACGCUACACUAAAAGAAGGGACCAAACCAGUUGCCUAGUGGCCCAAUUCCUGUGUUCCUGAUCUCAAUCAUGGCAGCAGUAGCACCG
rnacentral:misc_RNA from 1 species